UUGUUAUAGAGGCUUAUGAAAAAACAAGACAAGUUAUAUUGUUACUUCACUUAGUAUGAUCAUCUCUAGGUCCAUCCAUGUUGCUGCAAAUGGCAUUAUUUCAUUCUUUUUUAUAGAAAUAUGCCCAGGAGUGGGAUUGGUGGAUCAUAUGGACUGUAAAGAUGGAGGGCGGCAGACCUUAUGUAUUGCCAACUGCAACAAAGCAUUUCUUGAUGUCCAGCUCCCUUCACAGAGAGGAAAUAUUCUGUGCUUCUUGGCAGAAUGGUGUUAUUUCAAUGCAUUGUAUGGGUAACUCACUGCCUUGCAGAGGAAAGAAUUGCUUCUAACUGGAUCACAGAAAAGGCAGUACUUAUAGUCAUGGAAUUAAUUAUAUAAAAUCAUGAUCCUUCACUGAAUGUGUCACCGGGCCAAAAGAAGAAAAUUCAAUAGGAAGAAUUAGACCUUGAAGAGUGAUUGACGAUUCAUCUCACUACAGAUUUUUCACUUUGAGACUUUCAUUUGCUUUGCUGUAACACAAUUUCCUUUUUUUUUUUUUCCACCUCUAAGAAUAUCCUUCAGACUGAGGAAUGCUUUGAAAUUCUCUGAACUGGGGGUAAUUAAAAUUAAACUUUUUAAACCUCAGUUGAUUUUUUUAAGAACAUGAAAGGACAUGUUUUAUUCACCUAAGAAUAUUUUCUUGUAGCUGGCUUUGUUUAAAGGAGAGACAAUGAUAAGGUGAACUACAAGAAACUAUCAAAUUAGCAAGUUUUCUUAGGAUCUUGUUUUCAUGUUCCUCUUCCUUGAUUCAUGGUGGUAAGCAUUCUCUUAAA